UACGUAGGGUGCGAGCGUUGUCCGGAAUUACUGGGCGUAAAGAGCUCGUAGGCGGCCUGUUGCGUCCGCUGUGAAAGCCCGGGGCUUAACCCCGGGUCGGCAGUGGAUACGGGCAGGCUAGAGGUAGGUAGGGGAGAAUGGAAUUCCCGGUGUAGCGGUGAAAUGCGCAGAUAUCGGGAGGAACAUCAGUGGCGAAGGCGGCUGCCUGGCCCAAUACUGACACUCAGGUGCGACAGCGUGGGGAGCAAACAGG
rnacentral:rRNA from 1 species